AGAUCUUCUGCAGCGCAGCUUGAAAGCCCCGUCCCCUUCAGCCUUCUGCAAGCCCUGCCAGAGCUGCCAGGCAGCGCGAUGCCAGCAACCUGAGCGACAGCUGGCGAUUUUGAAUCUUUUGGUGUGAAUGCAAUUAGUGGUAGAGCAGGCGCCCCAUGUACAAGGCUGUUGCCGCAGCGGCCCGGGUUCGACUCCAGCCUGUGGCCCUUUGCUACAUGUCACUCCCUCUCUCUCUCCCCCUUUCACGCUUGUCUGUCCUAUCCAUUAAAGGCUGAAAAGCCCCCCAAAAAUAUCUUUAAUUUCCUGAUCUUUUUGGCUUCUUACAACAGAGAAAAACAGUGUCUAGUUGGGGCUCCUUGUCACAUGUCAAGGAGUUGUUAGUUUCACCAAAGAGAGAUUUCCCUUCAACCUUUCUAACAUGGUUUCAUUAAUAACUGUUAUAUGUCCAAAGAGCUAAAUUUAUCCAACAUUUCACAAAAAGCACAAUGCAAAAUGCUCUAAUUCUGUGAAAAGAAGUUAAAAGUAGCUCCUAGACCAGCUAUACCAGUAAAAUGCUGCUUGCACAUUAAUGCAUCAGUAAUAACAGUCUAAGUAGUAUUUUGAAUCAAGCAGUUUUACUUGUAAUGGGGUAUCUAAAGAUUGUUGAACUUGUACUUCAGUGAAGGAUCUGAUUACCACUGUACUGAAUUUGGAGCACAGUUUCAGAAAAGAAAUGUGGCUAUUAAAUGUUUUUUGUUGUUUUUUUCAACCAAGCCAGCUUCACAAGGAAUUGGUUCCCAGUUUGGUGUAGAAGAACUUGACUGGCCUGCACAGAGCUCUGACCUGGAGCCCAUCUAAUCUUAACAAUGACUGAGAGUCAAGCCUUAUGGCCACAAUCACUUCUUAACCUCAUUAUGGUCUCGAAACUGAAUGUCUCAGUUGUUUUCCAGGUCCUUUCCAUUCCACCACAGGUAAUGUGUCGGGCCGCUAUGAGACAGGCAUCACUCCAGCUGGCUGGACCUUCUCUAUCUGGGGUGUUAUCUAUACCUGGCUAACCCUGAUGGUCAUAUACCUCACAACAUACGUAUUCCGAGGAUCCUGGGCUCAGUGUCUGCUGCCCUACAGCUUCUAUUUUUGCUGGCUGUCCAACAUGCUGAUGAACAUGAUAUGGCUGCUGCUGUGG